GGGGACGUAGUUCAGUUUGGUUUAGAACGUCAGAUUGUCGAUCUGAAGGUCGCGGGUUCGAGCCCCGUCGUCCCCG
rnacentral:tRNA from 1 species